UACUGUACUCAGUGAAAGAGAAUCCCAUGGCAGAGACGGUUUGGGGAGACGGUUGGGAGAUGCACAGUUAAUCUCCACGCCAGAUUCCACUAUGGAGAAGGUGAGUAAAAUGAGAGGAGACAUAGCCGGGGAGAUGAGAUUGGACAUAGGAAGGACAGGGGGGACGGACACAAGGAGGCCCGCAACAUAUAGUGCUACUAAUGGGAGACAGGCUAAACGACAUACAUUAGGGUGUCUAUACACCAAUGCCAGAAGCCUAGGUAAUAAAAUGGAGGAAUUGGAGCUCUUGGUCCAAGAGCUGAAACCAGAUAUCGUAGGAAUAACGGAAACGUGGUGGAAUGGCAGUCACGACUGGAACACAGGUAUGGAGGGAUAUGCGCUGUUUAGGAAAGACUGGAACAAAGGUAAAGGUGGGGGGGUGGCAUUGUAUGUCAAUAGUGAAAUAAGCUGUAAAGAAAUAAUAGUUGAUGGAUUAGAUAACACAGAGUCCGUCUGGGCAAUACUCACACUGGGUAAUAGGACUACUAGAGCCUCUCCGGGGAUAGUGCUUGGAGUGUGCUAUAGACCGCCGAGAUCGACCCAGGAUAUGGAUAAGGAACUAUUUAAUGUGUUUAGAGAAGUAAUUACUAAUAGAAACUGUGUAAUUAUGGGGGACUUUAACUUCCCGGAUAUAGAUUGGGGAACAAACGCUAGUAGCAAUAAUAGGGCUCAGAUGUUCCUAGAUGUGCUUGCUGAUCAAUUCCUCCAGCAAGUGGUAGCUGAACCGACGAGGGGGGAGGCCAUUUUAGAUUUGAUUCUCGUAAGUAGUGAGGACCUCAUUGAGGAAGUGGUAGUAGGGGACAAUUUGGGCUCCAGUGAUCAUGAGCUAAUUCGGUUUAAAAUACAUGGUAGGAGUAACAGAAUUAAAUCAAAGACUAGGAUUUAUAAUUUUAAAAAGGCCAAUUUUAACAAAUUAAGGGGCCUAUUAAGGGAAGUGGAUUGGGCAAACAUAUUAAUGAAUCUUAAGGCAGAUCAAGCCUUAGCUUUCUUUAAGUAAAAGAAGCUUUAGCUGUAAUCGGCCUAUAU
rnacentral:lncRNA from 1 species